GCCGCAUCCCGUACGACCACCGAAAUUAAGCAACUUUAAGCCUGGCCAUUACCUAGAUGGGUGAACGCUUGGGAAUACCAGGUGCUGUAAG